UUAAAAGUAAAGCUGCAGAACAGGUAAUUGGAAAUUAUUAUUCUUGAUUUCCUUCCUUACAUGUGUACACAAAUUGUUCAUCAUUGUGUAUAUUGGAUUUCCUCUUUAGGAAGUUAGUAAGACUAGCCAUUUAUUUACAUGCUUUCACAAAAUAUUUGGAAUUGCAUUCUCUUUCAAAAGAAAAGCAGGAGGAAAAAAGAGGGGAUGUUUUAGGCUUUGUUUAUUUUACGGAAAAUAUUUUCUUGGAAAAUAUUUUUCGCAUUUUUUAGCGCAAUCGAAAAAUGGGUCAAUGGAAAAUAUUUCUUUGGUCAAAGGGAAACUAAGCUAUUUUUAUGGAAAAUGACUUCAUCUUUUCUGAAUCUUACUUAAAUGUGAAACACUUAUACAUGUAUAAAAUAAAUACAUGCCAUUAGUUUUAACAUUGUAAUCAAAUAAUGGAAAAUAUUUUCAUCUUAGAAAAUAAUUUUCAUGAAAAAUAUUUUUUAUAGGCAAGUUAUUUUCCACGAAACAAAUAUAGCCUAGUAUGGUUACAAGUCUUUCCAUCUUUAGAUUUAUCGCUACUGAACUGAUAAUGGGUGUUUGCUAAGUGUUAGAUACAAUUGUGCUACUCCUGUUGACAUUCAUCCUAUAUUUUCUUGUAGGGUUGGAGAAUGUCAG
rnacentral:misc_RNA from 1 species